AACUAUUUGUGGUUUAAACUAAAUUAACUAAAAGGAGGAUUGCUACUAAGAAUGAAUAAUUAGCGCAAAAGGCAAACUGAUGAAUAAGGAAGAUUCUGCAGAAAAAUCUGACCAAUAAAGGAAAAUAACAAAUCACAAGACCAUUUAUUUCUACUCUGGAAAAUAAAUGCAAAUAUAAAUAAAAAUGGGUGGCCUGUCUCCUCCGGAGUCCGUCAUAGUGGAGAAAGGAAGACUGCAGUUUCCGAGCAGGAACAGCGACCUUUCCGGCCUUUAUCAGUGUGAAGCAGAAAACACGGUUGGAAAAGCAAAGACAUCCGUCUUUGUGCAUUUCUCUUCAGAACCCGCAGUUGCAUGUUGGGUUGUUCUUGCUCUGGUAUUUGUCCUACUUAUGGUUGCUGCUGCAUUUGUGUACUUUUGGCGAUCUGGUAAAUUUUCAGUGUUGAGGGAACACACACCUUUGAGGAAAGAAGUUCAAUCCAAUAAUAUUUCAGGAGAAAUCGAGUUCUCCCACCAAGAAAAAGCAGGAUCCGUCUAA
rnacentral:lncRNA from 1 species